CGAAAGGCGGGCUAAACCCGCGUACAUGCCACCGGGGCAUCCCGGAGGCAGGAAAGGCUUCGGCCGGACAGGGAUGGGCAUGCGGCGAUUAGGCAGUAGGCGGGGUAACGGCCCACCUAACCGACGAUGCGUAGGGGUUCUGAGAGGAAGGUCCCCCACACUGGUACUGAGACACGGACCAGACUCCUACGGGAGGCAGCAGUGAGGAAUAUUGGUCAAUGGUCGGGAGACUGAACCAGCCAAGCCGCGUGAGGGAUGAAGGUACAGAGUAUCGUAAACCUCUUUUGUCAGGGAACAAAGGCGGGGACGUGUCCCCGGAUGAGUGUACCUGAAGAAAAAGCAUCGGCUAACUCCGUGCCAGCAGCCGCGGUAAUACGGAGGAUGCGAGCGUUAUCCGGAUUUAUUGGGUUUAAAGGGUGCGCAGGCGGUCUGUUAAGUCAGCGGUCAAAGCCCGGGGCUCAACCCCGGCCCGCCGUUGAAACUGGCAGUCUCGAGUUGGAGAGAAGUAUGCGGAAUGCGCGGUGUAGCGGUGAAAUGCAUAGAUAUCGCGCAGAACUCCGAUUGCGAAGGCAGCAUGCCGGCUCCACACUGACGCUGAGGCACGAAAGCGUGGGUAUCGAACAGGAUUAGAUACCCUGGUAGUCCACGCAGUAAACGAU
rnacentral:rRNA from 1 species